GAUGAACGCUAGCUACAGGCUUAACACAUGCAAGUCGAGGGGAAACGGCAUCGAAAGCUUGCUUUUGAUGGGCGUCGACCGGCGCACGGGUGAGUAACGCGUAUCCAACCUGCCCAUCACUUGGGAAUAACCUUGCGAAAGUAAGACUAAUGCCCAAUGACAUCCCACGAAGGCAUCCGAAUGGGAUUAAAGAUUUAUCGGUGAUGGAUGGGGAUGCGUCUGAUUAGCUUGUUGGCGGGGUGACGGCCCACCAAGGCAACGGUCAGUAGGGGUUCUGAGAGGAAGGUCCCCCACAUUGGAACUGAGACACGGUCCAAACUCCUACGGGAGGCAGCAGUGAGGAAUAUUGGUCAAUGGGCGAGAGCCUGAACCAGCCAAGUAGCGUGCAGGAUGACGGCCCUAUGGGUUGUAAACUGCUUUUAUAAGGGAAUAAAGUGGGUCACGUGUGACUUUUUGCAUGUACCUUAUGAAUAAGGACCGGCUAAUUCCGUG
rnacentral:rRNA from 1 species